CAAUAGCGUAUAUUAAAGUUGUUGCAGUUAAAAGCUCGUAGUUGGAUUUCUGGUGGGAGCGAUCGGUCCGCCCCGCAAGGGGUGUGUACUAGCGUCGUCUCCGGCCAUCCUUGUGGGAACUGCUCUGUCCUUAGUUGGAUGGGGUUUGGGAACACAUCGUUUACUGUGAAAAAUUAGAGUGUUUAAAGCAGGCUUAGGCCGUUGAAUACAUUAGCAUGGAAUAAUAAGAUAGGACCUUGGUCUAUUUUGUUGGUUUCUAGAGCUUAGGUAAUGAUUAAUAGGGACACUUGGGGCCAUUCGUAUUAACGCGUCAGAGGUGAAAUUCUUGGAUUGCGUUACGACGAACUACUGCGAAAGCAUUUGGCAAGGAUGUUUUCAUUGAUCAAGAACGAAAGUGUGGGAUCGAAGACGAUCAGAUACC
rnacentral:rRNA from 1 species